UUGUUCCCAGCAGAGGAACGAGACAGAAGCCCGCAGCACUUCAGGGGACGCAGAAGAAGACGUCCUGGUGAGUACUUACUCACGUUUCAAUUCUGGGUUAUAGCAUAGACUAUAAUGGGGCAAGAGCUCAGCCAGCACGAAUUGUUUGUUCAGGGGUUAAAGGAGGCCCUUAAGACUAGAGGAGUAAAAGUAAAAGUUAAACAACUGCUCACAUUUUUUGAUUUUUUAAAAGAUGCCUGCCCUU
rfam:Tupaia chinensis contig120683, whole genome shotgun sequence.